AGCUCAAGUUUUAUUGUAAUAUUUAUUAUAUAAAAAUGAUUCAAGAACAUGUAGCAAUUAUGUUUUGAAAAUUAUUCUGCCAGAAGACUAUUGGAAAACAUAUGCAGACAUUCCUUGAGUUUGAAAUUUUCAAUGCCAAUGAUGAUCGUAAUGUUAUUUUAUUUCCUAACUGUUAGGUUGUCACAGAAACAUUAAGUAACGCCAGAAACACAUGUUCUCAAAAUAUUAAGUCUGGAAUUUCGUCUCCUGGUCACGAAAAGUCAAUUUCUUUUUUAAUAUUUAACACUAGUGGUCUAAGUCUAAAAAAACAAUCAGAAGCAUGGUGUUCGUUUUAUUUGAAAAUGAGAUCCUCAAUUUAUUAAGAUGGUCGGAACAGGAUAAACUUUAAAAGAAACCCUUCGUGAUUUAAAGCGUUAACUUGUUUUAAAGAGGUAAAUUUUUAUUUUUAGAAAGUAAUGACACAGUAAAGUUUCUAUCACCCCCCCCCCCCCCAUCACCUUCCAAAAAAAAAAUUUGAGGGUUAAUUAUAUUAUACUGGCUUCACAAUUGGGAAAAAUUGUCCUAUCUUAUUGGAAUAACUUGUACCCAGGUUUCUUUUACCACUUGCGUCAUACUAGCUAUAGAAAGUAUAGAUUGACUUCUUGCCAAACAAAUUUAUUUUUCGUUUAACAAUUUAAUUUAUCGUAAAUAUGUGUCUCCAUUAUUUAUUUGUAAUAUUUUUUUUUUUACUUGUUUGAUUCAAUCCUUUUUUAAACUUGACUAAAUUGAUUUUAAAAUGUUUUACUUUUCAAUUGUAUAAAAUAUUUAAAUUUCUGAUUAUGGUUACCAUUGUUUCUCUUUAUUGAUUAACAUCAAGCUAUCACUAAUCUUUUAAUGAACUUGGGGUUCAUUCUAUGGAUUUGUUACCCGAAAAGUUUCAGUAUAAAAACUCAAGUAUAUUUUUCAAACGUUUUAGUAUAAAAACUCAAGUAUAAUAAAUGUAAAAAGUGUAAUUUUAAAUCAAGUUCGAAUCAACCAAAUGAUCUAGUGUUAUCAAUUACCCUUAAAAAAUAUACGAAUCCCACAUACAUUUACUUUAGUAGAUAAAAGUUCCUUAAAAGUAGUCGAAAAUAAACACUGGUUAAAGUGCUACUCGGUGGGGAUAAAUAUAUAGUUAGUUAUCGCAAUUGAAAAGAAAUGUGCUUAGAAUACCAGCUGCAUCAUUAUAAGAGUGUUUGAUGUCAGUGGCGCCUACUUACUUUUCAGCUAGUAAAGCAAUAGAAUUUGAUCAAAGUAAAUCAUUUCUUAGGCUAUCUAGGUUACCUUAAUUAUCUUUAUAUAAGCAUAUAAGCUAUAAAUGAUUCUGGAUAAAUUUUCAAACUUUCAGCACCAACAACAGUGAAAUUACAUAAAUCCGAAAGAAACUUCAGAAACGACGACACCAUGGGGCCAGGGAGCAUGUGCCUCCCCCCCAUCCCUAAAAGGACUUUUUCUUUUUUUUUUUAAGAAAAUUCUAGAUAUAGGGAACUUUUUUUUAGAAAUUGACGAUCGUACCCCCACCCCCACUUCAAAACCCGGGUCGUUGGCCUUGAUACAACAAUUUUCUUUUUUUAAUUUGUAAAAACUAUUAAUUUAUCCGAAAAAUCUAAAUUAUUGUAAAAAGUAUUUAUUUAUCACAACAUGAGUUUAUCACAACAUGAGUUUAUCACAUGAGUUUAUCGUGAUAAAUAAACAUGAGUUGUGAUAAAUAAAUCGGAAUUUAACGUAAAAAUAAUAAGUAGUCGUAAAAAUCUUGUUGAAAUAAAAAAUAUCUCAUAAAUCGAUAAAAAUUGAUAAAUUGGUAAAAAAAAUAUCUCAUAAAUAUAGCAUAUAGUAUCUCAUAAUAUAUAAGUAUAGGCCGUGAUGCAGUGGUUAGAACGCUUGCUAUAUAAGCAGGAGAUCCUGGCUCGAAACGACCUCUGGACGCAUUUUCGCGUCACGGUAAGGAAGGAGGCGUGAACUUCCUGGUUAAAUGCACUUCCGCGGUGCUCUGUGAAAAGACAGUUAGGUCUUCUUGGG